UACGUAGGGUGCAAGCGUUAAUCGGAAUUACUGGGCGUAAAGCGUGCGCAGGCGGUUUGGUAAGACAGAUGUGAAAUCCCCGGACUUAACCUGGGAAUUGCAUUUGUGACUGCCCGGCUAGAGUGUGUCAGAGGGGGGUAGAAUUCCACGUGUAGCAGUGAAAUGCGUAGAUAUGUGGAGGAAUACCGAUGGCGAAGGCAGCCCCCUGGGAUAACACUGACGCUCAUGCACGAAAGCGUGGGGAGCAAACAGG
rnacentral:rRNA from 1 species